UAGAACAGCCCCAGUUCUCUGGCUGGUGGGUUUUCCAAGCAUCAGGCUGUAUGAUAGUAGGUAUAGUAUGUAUCAAUAGUAGGUCUAUAUGUUUUAUUUAGGUGUCAUGCCAAACAUCUGAUUACAAGACAUUACUAUUUCACAUAACAUGCACGAAUACACAAUAGAAAAAGAGGAGAGAGAGAAAAAAAGUUAUUUUCUUUCAAAUAACAUUUGUGUGGAAAAAAAAGAAGAUAUUUACAAUUCAGCGGUACUGUGCAUUAUCCAGAGUCAAUGUCUUUUUCUUAUAAUUUUUGUUGCCUCUAAAGCGGAUGGUUGCAGUAGGAGAGAAGCAGCGAGGACAACAUGGAGCCAUGGGUCGGACUCGAACUCGUGGACGCUCCGGUCCAAACUUAACUAUAUUGAUACGCGUUCAACCAGGUGAGCCACAGGGACGACACAAAUCCUUACCUGAUUUUAUGUGAGUAAACAAGGUAGCCUAUUGCGCAUUUCCUAGUAAUAAAUCUGAGAGAGAACAGGAAACAAAAUGUGACGGGGCCAAACGUUAAAUGCAGUCGCUUCUAUUGCUGGCCGUUAGGGGGUAGAAAAAAAACUUUAAACAGGCCAACAUAUGGAUAGUACACAGCUACCAUCAACAAACCAACAUCUCAUAAAGUUAUGGGUGUAACAUUAUCGUCCCCCUGGAGUCCUGUUUUUAUCCACCCGAAGAGUGUGGUGCAGGUUAACAGGUGUAGAACAGCUGUCCUCCUGUGAAGAAUCUGCUAAACGUGACCGAGUGAGUCUGCGAGUGAUUUACAAGCGGAGAGUCUCUCUGAAAGGAAGCAUAUCUGCAGGGAGCAGAGGCCAGGGCACACACACAAUCCCAAGUUCCUGAAGAAGUGCUAUGUCAGCAAGGGGCUACUGUUUACAUUUACACACACACACACACACACACACACACACACACACACACACACACACACACACACACACACACACACACACAGCAUCUUCGGCUUUCAGAGGGGCGAAGUGGUGCGAACAGGAGGACUUGGUCUGUUAUGGACUUUAGAUUCACAUAAAUCUAACUCAGCAUCUUUGGUCUUUUGUCCAACUGUUACCCUCCUUUUGCAGCAAUGAAAAAAUGACCAGAUCAACAAAUAAUUCAGUCUAAUAGUGUCUAGUCUUCAACUCUUUUAUGCCUCUAACUGCAAAAUCUGUAAAUGUGCGGGGUUAGAUAUAUACAUGUCAGGCAAGUGAAAUUUCACUUUACAAUACCCUGAAAUAAGCAUCAAGGCAACACUAGAGAUUCUCAUUAGAAUUAAUAUACAUCUAUAAUCCCUUCUUUCUUUUCACCAAAUAAAGCCACAAUAUUUGAAUUAAAAUUAUUUGCAACAUCUCUCUUGAUAUUUCCGACUCAUGCUGUGUGUUCAAGCACACAAUUGUACUGCCACACUUAUCUGAAGUUUAUUUAAGAUUUCCAGAGAUGCUAAAUAUGUCACGUGAAGCAUAGGGUGAUGUCUGUUACAUGUAGCAUGAGACACCUACAAUUUUCCAUUUGAUGUACUGUCGAAGACAAAAAAGGCAUCUGGGAUUUGAAUAUUUUACACACUGUAAAUGUGAUGUAGCUUAGCUUAAAUAAAGCACUUAAAUGAUCAAGUACAGGAAAUAUAUGUGGUGCUGUUAAA